rnacentral:tRNA from 2 species
GGUCACAUAGCUCAGCGGUAGAGCAACCGGCUGUUAACCGGUUGGUCGUAGGUUCAAUCCCUACUGUGACCGCCA